GAUGAACGCUGGCGGCGUGCCUAAUACAUGCAAGUCGAGCGAACGGACGAGAAGCUUGCUUCUCUGAUGUUAGCGGCGGACGGGUGAGUAACGCGUGGAUAACCUACCUAUAAGACUGGGAUAACUUCGGGAAACCGGAGCUAAUACCGGAUCAUAUUUUGAGCCGCAUGGUUCAAAAGUGAAAGACGGUCUUGCUGUCACUUAUAGAUGGAUCCGCGCUGCAUUAGCUAGUUGGUAAGGUAACGGCUUACCAAGGCAACGAUGCAUAGCCGACCUGAGAGGGUGAUCGGCCACACUGGAACUGAGACACGGUCCAGACUCCUACGGGAGGCAGCAGUAGGGAAUCUUCCGCAAUGGGCGAAAGCCUGACGGAGCAACGCCGCGUGAGUGAUGAAGGUCUUCGGAUCGUAAAACUCUGUUAUUAGGGAAGAACAUAUGUGUAAGUAACUGUGCACAUCUUGACGGUACCUAAUCAGAAAGCCACGGCUAACUACGUG
rnacentral:rRNA from 1 species